GUUGGUAGCGUUUUGGAAGUUUAUCGAAAUUUGCAGUGAUCAUUAUAAUUAAACUACAAAAAUGUAGUAAACCUUCUUUAAAACACUCUAAUCAAUCGAUUAGAUGUGUUUGUGGCUCAUCAGAAAUCUGAAAUUGUAUGAGUUCAGCGAAUAGAGUUUGUACCAUUUAAUGGUACUUCCGGUAAAUGUGACGAGGACAUUUUUCAGCGGUAGAAUGCGGUUCUAAGGAUGCUGUAACUCUUGCAGCAGGAUCAACGCAAGAUGGAGCCGUCAAUACGGUCAUAUACAAUUAUUCAGGUGACUGAACAUCGAUAGGUUGACUCAUGAAGCAACGGCAUAAUGAUAUUCAUCACGCGUGCAUCUAUGUCAUUUUUGAGAUUGAAUAAAGAAACUACC